rnacentral:rRNA from 1 species
CCAGACUCCUACGGGAGGCAGCAGUGGGGGAUAUUGCACAAUGGGGGGAACCCUGAUGCAGCGACGCCGCGUGGGUGAAGAAGUCAUUCGUGACGUAAAGCCCUAUCGGCAGGGAAGAAACAGACGGUACCUGACUAAGAAGCCCCGGCUAACUACGUGCCAGCAGCCGCGGUAAUACGUAGGGGGCAAGCGUUAUCCGGAUUUACUGGGUGUAAAGGGAGCGUAGACGGCAGUGCAAGUCCGGAGUGAAAGCCCGGGGCUCAACCCUGGGACUGCUCUGGAAACUGUAAAGCUGGAGUGCGGGAGGGGCAGGCGGAAUUCCUGGUGUAGCGGUGAAAUGCGUAGAUAUUAGGAGGAACACCGGUGGCGAAGGCGGCCUGCUGGACUGUGACUGACGUUGAGGCCCGAAGGCGUGGGGAGCAAACAGGAUUAGAUACCCCCGUAU